GUACUCGCUUCAGCCGUACAUAUACUAAAAUUGAAACGAUGCAGAGAAGAUUAGCAUGGCCCUGCGCAAGGAUGGCACGCAAAAUAGUGAAGCGUCGGUGGCAUAA
rnacentral:snRNA from 1 species